rnacentral:tRNA from 1 species
GGGUAGGUGGCGGAGUGGCCAAUCGCACUAGACUGUAAAUCUAGCGGACUCGUCCUUCAGAGGUUCGAAUCCUCUCCUGCCCA